GUGCGGGGAUGUUAAUAGCGUCCUUGCUUGACUAAGGCUCCGGAGGAAGCCACGGCUAACUCUGUGCCAGCAGCCGCGGUAAUACAGAGGCGGCAAGCGUUGUUCGGAAUUAUUGGGCGUAAAGAGCACGUAGGCGGCCGCGUAAGUCGGUUGUGAAAGCCUUCCGCUCAACGGAAGGACGGCAUCCGAUACUGCAUGGCUCGAGUGCGGGAGGGGAGAGUGGAACUUCUGGUGGAGCGGUGAAAUGCGUAGAUAUCAGAAGGAACACCGGCGGCGAAGGCGACUCUCUGGUCCGUAACUGACGCUGAGUGUGCGAAAGCUAGGGGAGCAAACGGGAUUAGAUACCCCGGUAGUCCUAGCCGUAAACGAUGGGCACUAAGUAGAGGGA
rnacentral:rRNA from 1 species